GAUGAACGCUAGCUACAGGCUUAACACAUGCAAGUCGAGGGGCAGCAUGAAGUUUGCUUGCAAACUUUGAUGGCGACCGGCGCACGGGUGAGUAACGCGUAUCCAACCUUCCCUAUACUAGAGGAUAGCCCGGCGAAAGUCGGAUUAAUACUCUAUGUUCUUCGUAGAAGACAUCUGAAAUGAAGCAAAGGUUUACCGGUAUAGGAUGGGGAUGCGUCCGAUUAGCUAGUUGGCGGGGUAACGGCCCACCAAGGCGACGAUCGGUAGGGGUUCUGAGAGGAAGGUCCCCCACACUGGAACUGAGACACGGUCCAGACUCCUACGGGAGGCAGCAGUGAGGAAUAUUGGUCAAUGGGCGCGAGCCUGAACCAGCCAAGUAGCGUGCAGGAUGACGGCCCUACGGGUUGUAAACUGCUUUUAUGCGGGGAUAAAGUGUGCCACUUGUGGUGUUUUGCAUGUACCGCAUGAAUAAGGACCGGCUAAUUCCGUGCCAGCAGCCGCC
rnacentral:rRNA from 1 species